GGAAGAGGUUGUCUUUGACACUGUAUUUUGUAGAAUCAACCUCUCGAUGCCCUCCCUAUUGUGUCUUUAUACUCCACUCUUCUAGACUGUGAGCUUGUCUGAGCAGGGCCCUUAUCUACCUAUUGUAUCUGUAUAAUUUUGUAAUUGUUUAAUUUAUUGUAAAAUUGUCCCCUUUCAUAAAAUUGUAAAGUGCUGCAGACAAAAAAUGGCUCUAUAUAAAUAUCAAAAAUAAUAACUACGGGCCUUUCGUGAUGGAAUCUCUCAACAAUUAAUAUCUUUAUCGGUCCAUUGCCAAGUGUACCUGUUACAUAUAGGUGAUAUUAGGAGGAAUUAACUGGGGAUGCAAAUUUAGAUUAAUUUAAUUAACUAAAAACAGAAAGUCAUU